AGACCGAUAGCGAACAAGUACCGUGAGGGAAAGAUGAAAAGCACUUUGGAAAGAGAGUUAAACAGUAUGUGAAAUUGUUGAAAGGGAAACGAUUGAAGUCAGUCGUGACCGUUGGGUUCAGCCGGUUCUGCCGGUCUACUCCCUUCGGUCGGGUCAACAUCGGUUUUGACCGGCGGAUAAGGAAGGGAGGAAUGUGGCACCCUCCGGGGUGUGUUAUAGCCUCCCGUCGCAUACGCCGGUCGAGACCGAGGAACGCAGCUCGCCUUUAUGGCCGGGGUUCGCCCACGUCCGAGCUUAGGAUGUUGACAUAAUGGCUUUAAACGACCCGUCUUGAAACACGGACCAAG
rnacentral:rRNA from 1 species